AAACAAUCCUAGGGCCCUCGAUGGGCCAAAAAAUUGCAUCGAACAGGAACCGAAAAGGGCCUCAUCACAGGCAAAAAUCGAGGGAAGCCGCGGCGGCGCCGCUGGACUUCGGCAUUGUUUUCCGGCCGAUUGGCCGGUCGUUUAGCUCCGAUUUGGCCAUAGGCGGAUUCAGCAUCAAAAAAUCCUCCUGUGCGGCGGCGGGUGGC
rnacentral:lncRNA from 1 species